AUUGAACGCUGGCGGCAUGCUUUACACAUGCAAGUCGAACGGUAACAGGUUAAGCUGACGAGUGGCGAACGGGUGAGCAAUGCAUCGGAACGUGCCCGGUCGUGGGGGAUAACGCAGCGAAAGCUGCGCUAAUACCGCAUACGAUCUGAGGAUGAAAGCGGGGGACCGUAAGGCCUCGCGCGAUCGGAGCGGCCGAUGUCAGAUUAGGUAGUUGGUGGGGUAAAGGCUCACCAAGCCAACGAUCUGUAGCUGGUCUGAGAGGACGCACAGCCAGAAUGGGACUGAGACACGGCCCAGACUCCUACGGGAGGCAGCAGUGGGGAAUUUUGGACAAUGGGCGAGAGCCUGAUCCAGCAAUGCCGCGUGCAGGAAGAAGGCCUUCGGGUUGUAAACUGCUUUUGUACGGAGCGAAAAGGUCUCCUCUAAUACAGGGGGCUCAUGACGGUACCGUAAGAAUAAGCACCGGCUAACUACGCGCCAGCCGCCGCCGUAA
rnacentral:rRNA from 1 species